AUCAGAGGCGCCCUCGCCAUAUCCGUCGCCUUGGGUUCGGAUCCGGCUACUGCAGCUCGCCGGUGACACCGUGGACUUCUGGUUGCUGCUCAACUACAAGGCACUCCAUCAGGUUUGAGCAAAGUUUUGUGAUGGCGACGCGAACGUUUCUCUCACCGAGGCACGGAGGAUGGCUGGUGGUGGUGCUUGCCAUGCCCUCAAGCGCCAGCCUCCCAAGCUGUUGCUGGUGCUUGACUCCCUGCCGGAGCUGCUGCUCCUAAUGCCAUCCACCACUAUGUCCCGCUGCUGCCGAUUAACUUCCAACCUGCUCUUGACAGUCAAUUACACAACAUGGAGAUGCAGCCGGCAUUUUCCCUGAGCCGAUGCUGCCAGCAAGUGCUCCGGUGGUGGUGUGGUUGGAGAGCCCUAAAGCCGUGGUGAUGGCCAGCGGCGUUUCAGGAGGGCGACUUCCUUCCAUCCACUUGGACGGCUCAUGGUAAGGGGCCUCUCUCUGCCUUCUCUUCUCCAUUUUUUUUACUUUGUAUCUUGGCUGCUAGCUUGAUGAUUGGUAGUCAUUUUGUAGGUUGCAGACAUCUAGUGGUUUGUAUCGUGUCCAUGGCCUCUGAAAAAGAUCUUGGUCUUGUGUUUGGCUCUUUAUUACAGCCUACUACUCUUACCUCUAUGGACUUUAUUCCUCCUCGAAUUAUUUUGAUCAUCAAUACAGUUGUUUGCUCGUGAUAUCCUCAUGUAGAAGCUUCAUAUAUUUUCGUGUUUCUUUCAGCAUGGACCAUAUGGAAGGAAGCAUAGAAGAUAUGAGACAUUUUUUGUGAUUCGAGUGAGGAGGAUAUGGCAGGGUACUUAGUCUGAAUUUUGAAAAUGGUGAACAAUAGGAUAUGACAUGUGAUAAGUUGUGGUUUCUCAAAUACUUAGCAGUUAUGACAUGAUUUUGGUGACCCCUAUUCAGAACAGGGUGUCUACAACG